rnacentral:rRNA from 1 species
UACGGAGGGUGCGAGCGUUGUCCGGAAUCACUGGGCGUAAAGGGCGCGUAGGCGGCUGGGGAAGUCGGCGGUGAAAUCCCGCGGCUCAACUGCGGGUCUGCAGUCGAUACGGGCAGGCUAGAGUUCGGUAGGGGAGACUGGAAUUCCUGGUGUAGCGGUGAAAUGCGCAGAUAUUAGGAGGAACACCGAUGGCGAAGGCAGGUCUCUGGGCCGAUACUGACGCUGAGGAGCGAAAGCGUGGGGAGCAAACAGG